CCCGCCCAGCCCGGCAACCACUGGACCACCAGGGAGGUAAUGAACCUCCCCCCCCCCCAGCACUCCCAAAGGUAAGGGGGUUGGGGGGGGGGGGUGAAUAAAAAAAAAAUGUGUUAAUGUGAGUGAGUGUGUGUCAGUGAGUGUGUGUCUGUUAAUGUGUGUGAGUUUUGUUAGUGUGUGUGUCUGACUGUGUGAGUGCGUGUGUCUGCUAGUGAGUGAGUGUGUGUCUGACUGUGUGUAUGUGUGUGUCUGACUGUGUGUCAGUGAGUGUGUGUUUGCCUGUGAGUGUGUGUAUGUGUCUGUUAGUGUGAGUGUGUUUGCCUGUGAGUGUGUGUCUGUUAAUGUGUGUGUUUGUUAGUGUGUGUGAGUUUGUGUGUGUGUCUGCUAGUGUGUCUGCUAGUGAGUGUGUGUCUGUUAGUGUGUGUGUCUGACUGUUUGUCAGUGUGUGUGUGUCUGACUGAGUGUGAGUGUCUGCUAGUGUGUGUGUCUGACUGUGUGUGUGUCUGUGAGUGUGUGUCAGUGAGUGUGUGUCUGUUAGUGAGUGUGUCUGUUAGUGUGUGUUUGUGUUUCUGUUAGCGAGUGUAUGCGUAUCUGUCAAUGAAUGUGUGUGUGUGUGUAUUUAGAAGGGGGGCGGGGGGGUGGGGGGGGCUGGGGGGUUGGGGGGUGCCUGAGUUUUGUCCUGCCUAGGGCAGCACAAAACCAGGAUACACCACUGAGUACACCUAUUUAUACCUUAGGUGUCUUCAUUUUAGGGUCACCGUACUUCAUUUAUGAAAAAGUAACUUUUUUUUACUUUUAUUCACUUUAGGACCUCCCUUAACGUGGCAAAACUACAAGGCCAUAACUAAAGGGUGUAUACAUCAUGGAAAUUUUCCUGACUUAGGUCAGGAUGGCAUCUUAAAGUCUGAACAUCUUUAUCUACUUUGGGUUACCACAGUAUAUUGUGUACUGCAAGAGUCGUAGCAUAGCCUUGAAGCUUGUUUAUGCAUUAUUCUUAUUGUAUUUUAUCUGGGACAAAAUGGCGUAAACAUAUUAUGCACUGAAGGUUAUUUUUUAAAGAAACAUGUAUGAAAAACAAUAAGUUCCAUUUCUAACACCUUCUCGGUUUGCAAUAUCUCUUAAAGACAAAGUACACAGUUUAAGAAAUACAUUUUAAUCUAAAACUUGUAAUAUUUGAAUUUGCCCAUAACAAGUGUCAACAAGUGUCCGGUUGUGAUCAAGGCACAGGCUUUGUUUUCCAGCUUAGGGAUUCCACUUUCACUAGACAAAACUGCAGGACCCACCACUUGCCUGGUAUUUCUGGGUAUACAGUUAGACACAGUCCUCUUAGAGGCUAGACUCCCUGCGGACAAGCUCCUGAGAAUCAAAAAUGACGUGUAUGAAUUCAUGAGGAUCGGAGCUUGUUCACGGAAAGAACUUUUAACUUUGCCAUGCGGAUCAUCCCGCAGGGUCGAUAAUUUUUCUAGAUUAUUGUGCAUCCUACUUGGUGCCCUGGAUAGCCUCAGCAAGAUUACCCUGGAUGUAAACACCAGAGCCAAUUUAGUCAUAUGGCAGCAGUUCCUAGAUAAUUGGAAUGGCAGAUCUGUUUGUUCCCCCAUUGUCCGAUGAUUCCCCAGUUAUUUGGACCGAUGCGGCUGCACACACAGGCUUCGCUACCAUUUUUGGUGACAGAUGAUUAAAAGACGUAUGGCCUGCGGAGGCCAUUAACUUACCAGCUUUUCAGGAAGACUUCCGCUCUCUUUAAAAUCUAUCCUAUCGUUGCAGCCGCAUUAACGUGGGGAACACUAUGGCAAGAGCAGUGUCAGAAUUACUACUUGAUCCUGCAUGUAGAACUAUAUUACACUUAGUACUAAAAGGUAACGUCUUACCGGGCCUUAGAAUGGCCAGACUUAACGUACCAGAGAAUAGUCAGAAUACUUGCCAAGGUCGGGGACACAGAAUGAGACACAACGAUGAAGGAAAGCCAAAAGUCAGAGAUACCAGAAUACAGGGAAGUCAAACAAAACCAAAGUCAAUAACCAGAAAUAAAUGAUGACAGAGCUAUGACACUGUUCACUAGAUUCACCCACUGUUUUCUUUCCCCCAUCC
rnacentral:lncRNA from 1 species